rnacentral:snRNA from 1 species
AUUCUUGUGCUCGGGCACGUACUGUCGCCAGUGAGGUCCAUACCGAGGCACAGUCUUUUGCUGAUUGCAAAUUACACAUCCGAACACGUCGGUUAGCUUCGGCUCUCCGCAAUUUUUGGAAAACAUCUCCUACGAGAAUCUUAUUUUGGAUGGUGU